rnacentral:rRNA from 1 species
GUCGAACGAAGGCUUCGGCCUUAGUGGCGCACGGGUGCGUAACGCGUGGGAAUCUGCCCCUUGGUUCGGAAUAACAGUUGGAAACGACUGCUAAUACCGGAUGAUGACGUAAGUCCAAAGAUUUAUCGCCGAGGGAUGAGCCCGCGUAGGAUUAGGUAGUUGGUGUGGUAAAGGCGCACCAAGCCGACGAUCCUUAGCUGGUCUGAGAGGAUGAUCAGCCACACUGGGACUGAGACACGGCCCAGACUCCUACGGGAGGCAGCAGUGGGGAAUAUUGGACAAUGGGCGAAAGCCUGAUCCAGCAAUGCCGCGUGAGUGAUGAAGGCCUUAGGGUUGUAAAGCUCUUUUACCCGGGAUGAUAAUGACAGUACCGGGAGAAUAAGCUCCGGCUAACUCCGUGCCAGCAGCCGCGGUAAUACGGAGGGAGCUAGCGUUAUUCGGAAUUACUGGGCGUAAAGCGCACGUAGGCGGCUUUGUAAGUAAGAGGUGAAAGCCCAGAGCUCAACUCU